CCUACGGGAGGCAGCAGUGAGGAAUAUUGGUCAAUGAGCGCAAGCCUGAACCAGCCAAGUAGCGUGAAGGAUGACUGCCCUACGGGUUGUAAACUUCUUUUAUAAAGGAAUAAAGUGAGGCACGUGUGCCUUUUUGUAUGUACUUUAUGAAUAAGCAUCGGCUAACUCCGUGCCAGCAGCCGCGGUAAUACGGAGGAUCCGAGCGUUAUCCGGAUUUAUUGGGUUUAAAGGGGGCGUAGGUGGGAUGUUAAGUCAGUUGUUAAAGUUCGCGGCUCAACCGUAAAAUUGCAAUUGAUACUGGCAGCCUUGAGAACAGUUGAGGUAGGCGGAAUUCGUGGUGUAGCGGUGAAAUGCUUAGAUAUCGCGAAGAACUCCGAUUGCGAAGGCAGCUUACUA
rnacentral:rRNA from 1 species